rnacentral:rRNA from 1 species
AAUUUUGGACAAUGGGGGCAACCCUGAUCCAGCCAUCCCGCGUGUGCGAUGAAGGCCUUCGGGUUGUAAAGCACUUUUGGCGGGGAAGAAAUGGCUCUGGUUAAUACCUGGAGCUGCAGACGGUACCUGCAGAAUAAGCACCGGCUAACUACGUUCCAGCAGCCGCGGUAAUACGUAGGGUGCAAGCGUUAAUCGGAAUUACUGGGCGUAAAGCGUGCGCAGGCGGUUCGGCAAGAAGGAUGUGAAAUCCCAGGGCUUAACCUUGGAACCGCAUUCUUAAAUGCAGGGCUAGAGUAUGUCAGAGGGAGGUAGAAUUCCGCGUGUAGCAGUGAAAUGCGUAGAGAUGCGGAGGAAUACCGAUGGCGAAGGCAGCCCCCUGGGAUAAUACUGACGCUCAUGCACGAAAGCGUGGGGAGCAAACAGG